rnacentral:lncRNA from 1 species
AGUCUAGCCUCGGCCUCCUUAACUGCCCCUCCUUGAGGACUUGCACCUGAGGUGUGCUGGGAGUGGGGCUUCCACACACGGACUGUGGUGUGCACAGUUCAGCCUGUUCACACCUCGCAGUGCACACGCCCUCGUGUCACACGCCCAGGCUCCAGCGGCCCCUGCUGGCCCCUCACUGGAACAGAGUGUCCUCCCCACAGGCAGAACCUGAACGCCCCUCUGAGGCCUUCCCCAAGAGGACUCCUCUGGGUUUCGCCUGCCCGUGAGCAGCCCGCACCUUCCUGCUCCCUGUACCCAUGAAGGACACCCUGGCCUCCUCAGCUGGGCCAGGGAUGAGCUUGUGGCCCCAGGUGGGCGGUCAGCAGCCUCGCCUGGGACUGAUGGCGAGACCACCAGCAGCUCGGGGGCUGGGCUGAAGCCUGGGUUGUAGGGGCUCAGCCCAAGGACGGGGCAGCGGGCAGGAGGGCGGGGCCGCUCCAGCC